ensembl:snoRNA
UUUGCCAAAAUGAGACUGUGUUAUGAACCAAGGAUUGCGAUUAAUCCAGUUCUGUACACCUGAGGUCCAAA